GAGGUCCUUAGGCACAGAUCUAGGAUCAGAAUACAGUAAAUGUACUGUACAGUUCUGCCAUUGUAGAGGUCCUUAGGCACAGAUCUAGGAUCAGAAUACAGUAAAUGUACUGUACAGUUCUGCCAUUGUAGAGGUCCUUAGGCACAGAUCUAGGAUCAGAAUACAGUAAAUGUACUGUACAGUUCUGCCAUUGUAGAGGUCCUUAGGCACAGAUCUAGGAUCAGAAUACAGUAAAUGUACUGUACAGUUCUGCCAUUGUAGAGGUCCUUAGGCACAGAUCUAGGAUCAGAAUACAGUAAAUUACUGUACAGUUCUGCCAUUGUAGAGGUCCUUAGGCACAGAUCUAGGAUCAGAAUACAGUAAAUUACUGUACAGUUCUGCCAUUGUAGAGGUCCUUAGGCACAGAUCUAGGACCAGAACACAGUAAAUGUACUGUACAGUUCAGUAGAGGUUGUCCUUAGGCACAGAUCUAGGAUCAGCUUACCCAUCCCAAAACCUAACUUAAAGGGCUAUCCAGGAUUGGUACAUCCAGUUUUUUUUACUUUUAAAUGAUUGAUUUAUUGCUCUUGGUUCUUGUAGAAUAUAACUUAAAACUGCCUUGUGACCAGGUCAACAGUCGUUCCCCAUCAGUACCCCAACUAUAAGCUUGUUUUCACUCCAUUGUUUGUCCACGAUGUAAAGGUUUAAAACAUGGUUAAAAGUAUCCUGUUGAUCUCAUGGAUGGUCAGUCCUUGCAUCCAGAGAUCCAUCUGUGAUGUUGAGAGUGGUUCAAUCUAUCCAGGCCCAUCCCUCAGCUGUUAACCACAACAAGUGAUGGGAUGACCUGUUAGUUGCUUUUUAAAUCCCAGACUGCCCCUUUAAGGUUCCACCUAGAACUUGGUCUCAGAGUAACCAUGGAGAUUCAGUAGAGUCUUAAAACAAUCUAAAAAACGUCUACAUUCAAUGUUGUAUGUUUUAUAUUCUAUUCUGUUGCACUUUUACUUCGACAAGUUGUGUAUUUUAUACUUUUAAAGAACGUACCAUUUUCAUGUCCUUUAUCAACACUGUUCUGAAUGUAAGCACUUAGUGUUGUACUUGACUGUGUACUCUGUAGUGUGUGUGUGUGUGUGUGUGUGUGUGUGUGUGUAUGUGAGAGAGAGUGGGUAUGUUUCGGUAGCUUUAGCCACAAUAAAACGUUGCUACAAAUAACCUACUGUAGAUGUCUUCUUACCACACACACACGCAAACACACACACAGAAACACACACACACACACACACACACACACACACACACACACACACACACACACACACACACACACACACAUGCAAACACAAACACACACAGACAGACACACACACACACACACAUGCAAACACACACAUACACACAGACACACACAGAAACACACACACACACAUGCAAACACAA
ensembl:lncRNA